GCCGAAGGUCUCCUAGCCUUCGGGCCAGUGCCCGCCGAUCCUCCGGGAGCCAGGUCCGCGAUCUCCGGCGCCCGCCGUGGGCUCGGGAAAGCGCACAGCGCACUACUUGUCGCGGAGGGAUCCGGCCCCUGAGUUACCUGUUCUCCACUCGGAGCUGACCUCGGUCCAAGGGCCCGCAAGUCCGCCUCACCGAGAAGUAAUACAGGUUCGGAUCCGCGCCGCCGACCUCACAAUGGCGCGGGCGUCCAGCCACUGUCACGCAGCAUCCCGUGCGAUUAUUCGCCCAGAGCCUCACUGCUUAGGGGACCACGGCGGGGCCCUUCUCCCUCUCGCUCAUUCAGAAGAUGAGAACGUCCCCGCACGACACAACGACGCUGUUUUAACAAUACCCAACUAACUCUGCUCUUCCAAACUGCACACACUUAAAGGUGACAUGGCCACAGACGCUGGGUUGCAAUACUACGCUGGAAUUCUGCACUAAUUAUUUAAAAGCUUUCUUACAGUACUACAGCGAAACGACCGGUUACAAACCUUUCAUUUUCGUUCGAACACCGUACUCUAACCAAUGGAUAUUUUGUGAAUACUUCUAUUCAGUAUCUCUAGAUUUUUAAAAAAAAAAACCCAAAUGUAAAGAAAGACAUUACCAAAUGAGUGGUUCAUCAGUGAAAUAAUUUGUUUUGCCUUUACAUUUUAGCCUUUUUGGAAGGCACAUUAUUUGCAGUAUACACAGAUAUAAAUUUUGUACAUUUAAAAUAGCCUGUAUAGCCUUUUUGUCGUUCUUUCUUGAAGCCCCUCCCACUCUGAAGAUUCUUUCGCUUCUAUUAAUUUUAAGUCUGGUUAAAAAAAUAGUGCUUGAGGCCAUCCUGGUCUACAGAGUGAGUUCCAGGACAGCCAUGGUUAAAAGAGAAACCCUGUCUCAAAAAAACCAAAACAAACAAAAAAAAAAUAGUGCUUAAAUUAAACAUAAAAACAAUUAGCAUUUACAUUUGAAUAAUGCUUCUUCAUGUUUAUUACCAUGUACAUUACUAGGAACUGGAAGUCCAAUCUUGUAAAAAAUUAAAAUUCAAGACAGGCCUUUAUAGUGAGGUUAUUGUCUUUUCAUUAUAACUCAUUUUUUACAGCCAGCUAAUUUUCCAGAGGGAAUUACUGUUCCUAUCUUUAGUCAAUUUGGUUAAGAAUUCUUUGCCUUUAAAUAUAUAAAAAUGUUUGUGUAUGAUUUUAUUUUUCUGUGAGAGCAUUAAGGUUAGAGGACAACUUGUGGGCAUGCUAUUCUUUUACCUAGGAAUGGAACGCAUUUCCACCCUGUGACAGGGUCUCAUGUAUCCUUAGAUAGCCUGGAACUCACCUGUAUAGAUCACAUUGACUGAAAUUUCAGAGAUUCCUCUGCCCCUCUAUUCCUGGGAUUAAAGGUGUACAACACUGCCACCAGCAUUAAAAAUUGUCUUUAUA